rnacentral:rRNA from 1 species
CAGCCGCCGCGGUAAUACGAAGGGUGCAAGCGUUAAUCGGAAUUACUGGGCGUAAAGCGUGCGUAGGCGGUUUAUACAGUCAGAUGUGAAAUUCCUGGGCUCAACCUGGGGACUGCAUCUGAUACGUAUGGACUUGAGUGGAGAAGAGGGUUGUGGAAUUUCCAGUGUAGAGGUGAAAUUCGUAGAUAUUGGAAAGAACACCGGUGGCGAAGGCGGCAACCUGGUCUUUAACUGACGCUGAGGCGCGAAAGCGUGGGGAGCAAACAGGAUUAGAUACCCCCGUAGUCCCUGUCUCUUAUAC